rnacentral:rRNA from 1 species
CCUACGGGGGGCAGCAGUGGGGAAUAUUGCGCAAUGGGCGAAAGCCUGACGCAGCGACGCCGCGUGAGGGAUGAAGGUCUUCGGAUCGUAAACCUCUGUCAGCAGGGAAGAACGGUCACUGUGCUAAUCAGCAGUGAAUUGACGGUACCUGCAAAGGAAGCACCGGCUAACUCCGUGACAGCAGCCGCGGUAAUACGGAGGGUGCGUGCGUUAAUCGGAAUUACUGGGCGUAAAGCGCGCGUAGGCGGUAUGUCAAGUCAAGGGUGAAAUCCCCGGGCUCAACGGGAGAACUGAAUUUGAAACUGGCAAACUGGAGUGUAGGAGAGGUGGGUGGAAUUCGAGGUGUAGGGGUGAA